GCAAGUCGAGCGAUGAGAUCACUUCUCGUGAAGGAUUAGCGGCGAACGGGUGAGGAACACGUGAAGAAUCUGCCUUCAACUCUGGGAUAACUCCGGGAAACCGGGGCUAAUACCGGAUAUGAGCCUUGAUCGCAUGAUCGGGGCUGGAAAGUUUUUCGGUUGAAGAUGACUUCGCGGCCUAUCAGCUUGUUGGUGAGGUAAUGGCUCACCAAGGCGACGACGGGUAGCCGGCCUGAGAGGGCGACCGGCCACACUGGGACUGAGACACGGCCCAGACUCCUACGGGAGGCAGCAGUGGGGAAUAUUGGGCAAUGGACGAAAGUCUGACCCAGCGACGCCGCGUGCGGGAUGAAGGCCUUCGGGUUGUAAACCGCUUUCAGCAGGGAAUAAGCGCAAGUGAAGGUACCUGCAGAAGAAGCACCGGCUAACUAUGUGCCAGCAGCCGCGGUAAUACAUAGGGUGCAAGCGUUGUCCGGAAUUAUUGGGCGUAAAGAGCUCGUAGGUGGUUUGUUACGUCGGUUGUGAAAUUCAGGGGCUCAACCCCUGACUUGCAGCCGAUACGGGCAAGCUAGAGUUUGGUAGGGGAGACUGGAAUUCCUGGUGUAGCGGUGGAAUGCGCAGAUAUCAGGAGGAACACCGAUGGCGAAGGCAGGUCUCUGGGCCAAUACUGACACUGAGGAGCGAAAGCGUGGGGAGCGAACAGGAUUAGAUACCCUGGUAGUCCACGCCGUAAACGGUGGGCGCUAGUUGUGCGAACCUUCCACGGUUUGUGCGACGCAGCUAACGCAUUAAGCGCCCCGCCUGGGGAGUACGAUCGCAAGAUUAAAACUCAAAGGAAUUGACGGGGCCCCGCACAAGCAGCGGAGCAUGCGGCUUAAUUCGACGCAACGCGAAGAACCUUACCCAGGCUUGACAUAUACAGGAAUAUGGCAGAGAUGUC
rnacentral:rRNA from 1 species